rnacentral:rRNA from 1 species
UACGUAGGGUGCAAGCGUUGUCCGGAAUUAUUGGGCGUAAAGAGCUCGUAGGCGGUUUGUUGCGUCUGCUGUGAAAACUCGGGGCUUAACUCCGGGCCUGCAGUGGGUACGGGCAGACUAGAGUGCGGUAGGGGAGACUGGAAUUCCUGGUGUAGCGGUGAAAUGCGCAGAUAUCAGGAGGAACACCGGUGGCGAAGGCGGGUCUCUGGGCCGUAACUGACGCUAAGGCGCGAAAGCGUGGGGAGCGAACAGG